rnacentral:rRNA from 1 species
CCAGAANAUUACAAGCNAAAAGCUUAAAACUCAAAGGACUUGGCGGUGCUCCACACCCGACUUAGAGGAGCCUGUCCUAUAAUCGAUACUCCACGCUAAACCUCACCAUUCAUUGCCAAAGACAGCCUAUAUACCGCCGUCACCAACUUACCCCAUGAGGGUUAAACAGUAAGUACAACAGUUAUUUAACUAAAACGUCAGGUCAAGGUGUAGCUAAUAGAAUGGCAGAGAUGGGCUACAUUUUUU